UUAGCUUGUAGCAUAUAAUCUUUUCCUUAUUUUGACAUGUUACUGCUUUCCUAGCCUUUUUAAAAGCCAUGCAAGCCGCUUCCUCCCUUCCUUUGUUCUCCAUUGCUUUUACCUAUUUAAGCUUUUAGCCAGAUCGGGUGUAGCUUAGACUGUGCAGUCCAGCUCCAGCCGAUGGAGACUGGACACAGUAGUAGAAACCUCAUAUGUUAGGGAUAGAAAGCCCUCCUCUCCUUUGUUCGGUGUGUUCUCGUGGCAACCAGGCUCACAAGCAGCAGAAGUAAAAAUUGCCUUGAUGAGAACUUCUUUGUUCAAGUGUUCAUUUUCUUCGUGACUCUGAACUUUUACUUCUAACAAUUCUGGGGGCUCAUCCAGGAUAUACCAUUCUCCUUCAGGGAAGGGGUCUUUGGUCACCUCCCAGGGAAGGUGCACCCCACUGCCUUGUUGCAGUGGCCUCAAGAUGGGAGACUGAGAUCCACCCAUUGUGAUGAAUAAAAACGUGGGGAAGGGAAAGGCUUGCAACACCGCAGCAACCAGGUAACUCUGUGAACAGAUGAAGGUUUCUUAACAGGAAAUCCACUUCUGAAAAGGGAACGCCUAUGUCUUGAUUUAAUUGACUGUCAUACAAAGGUCCAGCCAGAUUUAGUUAGAGACCGCCUUCAAAACAAGAUGGAGUUUCACUCUUGUUGCCCAGACUGGAGUGCAAUGGCACGAUCUCCACUCAUCACAUGCACCACCACGCCUGGCUGAGACAGGUUUCUCCAUGUUGGACAGGCUGUUCUCAAACUCCUGACCUCAAGUGAUCUGCCCACCUUGGCCUCCCAAAGUGCUGGGAUUACAGGCGUGAGUCACCACUCCUGACAAUUCCACAUUUCUUAAAACAUUCCUGUUGACAGCUUGGGCAGGUUACUUUGUAUGCAUUCACCCACGGAUGCCACUGGAGCCCCUUCCCACCUGCGCUGGGUGUGGGGCAGGUCCCCAGGUGGCAGGGUGCAUGCCACACAAGUCAGGGCAACAGCAGGGGCUGAGCCUCGCUCCGACUCCUGGUCUAGAGAGAGCACCUGGACAUUUUGAGAAAUAUUUUAACCUAGGAGGCACCCAAUGUGAGAAACAAACUCACCUAUCCAAAGCAAAGAAUGGACUCAGAGACCUGGAGAACAGUGAAAGUGAGGCUUUUAAUAACGAUCAGGUGUCUGAUGAGCAGGCACACCCAGCAGUUUCAGCAAUUUAUCCCCUAAGUGUGCAGGCCCCUCCUUCCUUUUAGGCUGAGUACUGUGGCAUUAGUCUUCUCAGACGUUGCUUGUUGUUAGGUAGGGACUUUAGGUGUUUUUUUUUUUUUGGUUGUUUUGCUGCAUUUUGUUGCAUUGAAAUCUUAGCUAAGGGGCUCUUCAAGUAUUUGACAACACCUGAGUAGCCAGGCCGGCUGUUAAGGACAGACAAAGCGAGCUAUUUUGCAGGCUAGUAAUUCAUUUUAGACUAAAUAAACUCUUUUGGUUCAGGUGAAGGCAACUAAGGAAAGUGGAAAGGGACGCAGGGAGAAGCCGACAAGCAGGCAUCAGCUAUCCUGAGGGUAGGCCUAGUACAUCGUUUGUUCCAUAGUUUGCUGACCUAAGAGGGUUCAAGGCAGUUUGUCUUGGAAAUGGACUACUGUGUACAUUAUUUUCUUCACCCGAGGAACAUCUUAAAG